AGAUGAUGUUGAGGGAAAUUAUGGAUCAUUCCUUUAUAUCUUUCCAAUGCUACAUACAAUGAUUCACCAUAAUUUUGUUGGAAGUUCGCGUUAUUUUUCAUCAAUCA